rnacentral:rRNA from 1 species
CCUACGGGGGGCAGCAGUGGGGAAUAUUGGGCAAUGGACGCAAGUCUGACCCAGCAACGCCGCGUGAAGGAAGAAGGCUUUCGGGUUGUAAACUUCUUUUAAGGGGGAAGAGCAGAAGACGGUACCCCUUGAAUAAGCCACGGCUAACUACGUGCCAGCAGCCGCGGUAAUACGUAGGUGGCAAGCGUUGUCCGGAUUUACUGGGUGUAAAGGGCGUGCAGCCGGACAGACAAGUCAGAUGUGAAAUCCGCGGGCUCAACCCGUGAACUGCAUUUGAAACUGUUUGCCUUGAGUAUCGGAGAGGCAGGCGGAAUUCCUAGUGUAGCGGUGAAAUGCGUAGAUAUAAGGAGGAACACCAGUGGCGAAGGCGGAUUACUGGACGAUAACUGACGGUGAGGCGCGAAAGCGUGGGGAGCAAACAGGAUUAGAUACCCGAGUAGUC